GACNGGAAGCGAUAGNUAGGGGAAUGCAGAAUUCAGNGGAAUCAUCGAAUCUUUGAACGCACUCUUGCNCCCNUUUGGGUAUUCCAAAAGGUACACCUGNUUUGAGUGUCAUGAAACCCUCUCAUUAAACAUUUUAUUUUUGAUUUGUUUAGUGGAUGUUGAGUGUUGCUGUACCUAUAGCUCACUUUAAAUAUAUAAGUCACUUUUCAAAUAAGUUGGAUUGACUUGGUGUAAUAAUUUUAUCAUCACAUCAAGGAAAGUAGUAAAACACUUGCCAUCUUGUUUGUUAAUAAGAGACUCCUAAAACCCAAUAUCUUAUUUUUAAGACCUCAAAUCAGGUGGGACUACCCGCUGAAACUUAAGCA
rnacentral:rRNA from 1 species